rnacentral:rRNA from 1 species
UAGCUGAGGUACAUCACAGGCUUCACACCAGGGCGAAUCCCAGCGUUAGGGAUUUUAGCAACUGCAUUAACCAGAUCCAGAUCUCUUACGGAGCAAGCAUUGGGAAUAUAUGACACAAUGACGCAAGGCUGAUGCAGCUUGUCGCUUGAUGGUAGCAAGACUUCGGUGUUAAAAGCACUUCAGUCGUGAAGCAGUGUAGUAGUUAAUAGCUGCAUCAUAGCACGUCAGCGACAGAAGAAGCACGGCUAACUCCGUGCCAGCAGCUGCGUAAUACGAGGGUGCCAGCAUUAAUCGAAUUACUUGACGUAAAGCGCCUGCCGGUGGUUGUUAAGUCAGAUGUGAAAGCCCGGGGCUCAACCUAGGAAUUGCAUUUAAACUGGCAGACAAGAGUACUGAAGAGGGGGUAGAAUCUCAGGUGAGCGUGAAAUGCGUAAAGAUCUGAAGGAAUACCGGUGGCGAAGGCGGCCCCCUGGACAGAUACUGACACUAGAUGCGAAAGCGUGGGGAGCAAACAGGAUAGAUACCUUGGUAGUCACGCGUAAACGAGUCUACUGGAGGUUGUGGCCUUGAGCCGUGGCUUUGGAGCUAACGCGUUAAGUAGACCGCCUGGGGAGUACGGUCGCAAGAUUAAAACUCAAUGAAUUGACGGGGGCCCGCACAAGCGGUGGAGCAUGUGGUUUAAUUCGAUGCAACGCGAAGAACCUUACCUACUCUUGACAUCCAGAGAACUUUCCAAGAUGGAUUGGUGCCUUCGGGAACUCUGAGACAGGUGCUGCAUGGCGUCGUCAGCUCGUGUUGUGAAAUGUUGGGUUAAGUCCCGCAACGAGCGCAACCCUUAUCCUUGUUUGCCAGCGAGUAAUGUCGGGAACUCCAGGGAGACGCCGGUGAUAAACCGGAGGAAGGUGGGGACGACGUCAAGUCAUCAUGGCCCUUACGAGUAGGGCUACACACGUGCUACAAUGGCGCAUACAGAGGGCGGCCAACUUGCGAAAGUGAGCGAAUCCCAAAAAAUGCGUAGUAGUCCGGAUUGGAGUCUGCAACUCGACUCCAUGAAGUAGGAAUCGCUUGUCAUCGUGCAUCAGAAUGUCACAAAAAAUACC